GUAGCUGGUCUGAGAGGAUGGCCAGCCACACUGGAACUGAGACACGGUCCAGACUCCUACGGGAGGCAGCAGUGGGGAAUAUUGGACAAUGGGGGGAACCCUGAUCCAGCAAUGCCGCGUGUGUGAAGAAGGCCUGAGGGUUGUAAAGCACUUUCAGUGGGGAGGAGGAUUGCUAGGUUAAGAGCUAAGUAAUUGGACGUUACCCACAGAAGAAGCACCGGCUAACUCCGUGCCAGCAGCCGCGGUAAUACGGAGGGUGCGAGCGUUAAUCGGAAUUACUGGGCGUAAAGGGUGCGUAGGUGGUUUAUUAAGUUAUCUGUGAAAUCCCUGGGCUUAACCUGGGCAGGUCAGAUAAAACUGGUWAACUCGAGUAUGG
rnacentral:rRNA from 1 species